rnacentral:rRNA from 1 species
CCUACGGGAGGCAGCAGUGGGGAAUAUUGCACAAUGGGGGAAACCCUGAUGCAGCGACGCCGCGUGAGUGAAGAAGUAAUUCGUUAUGUAAAGCUCUAUCAGCAGGGAAGAAAAUGACGGUACCUGAGUAAGAAGCCCCGGCUAACUACGUGCCAGCAGCCGCGGGAAUACGUAGGGGGCAAGCGUUAUACGGAUUUACUGGGUGUAAAGGGAGCGUAGACGGCAGUGCAAGUCUGGAGUGAAAGGCGGGGGCUCAACCCCCGGACUGCUCUGGAAACUGUACGGCUGGAGUGCAGGAGAGGGAAGUGGAAUUCCUGGUGUAGCGGUGAAAUGCGUAGAGAUUAGGAGGAACACCAGUGGCGAAGGCGGCUUACUGGACGGUAACUGACGUUGAGGUGCGAAAGCGUGGGGAGCAAACAGGAUUAGAUACCCCGGUAGUC